rnacentral:lncRNA from 1 species
CAAUUGAUUCUGAGCAGAUUCGCUUAAAUCAUUUGGCGGCACCCGAAGAGAGACCUGCUUGGGUUGCUUCAAAAAAAAAACGCCUCCAAUUGAUUCUCUCUGGGUCAGUUACUAAUGGACUGGAGGAAAUGAGAGUCUUUGCAGAAGGAAGGGGAAUUCUCUAAGCUUCUUAUCGAGGCCAAGGGGAUCCUAAUAUACAAGAUGAUGGGAAACCCGUUUAAAGUGGGUAAAAUAUUAAGUGCAAAGGGAGACACAUGAGAAAGACACGAACCACCUCUGAUGCCUUACCUGCCGUUGCCAGAACUUCUGAUUUUAGAAUAGCUUGGGAAGUUGCUAAGUGUUGAUGUAGGUCGAUACAGGGAAUGCCGUGGAUGUAGCGUACCUGGAUUUCAGUAAGGCCUUCGACAAAGUCCCCCACGACCUUCUGGCAAACAAACUAGUAAAAUGUGGGCUAGACAAAACUACGGUUAGGUGAGCACCCUUUGGGUUCGUUCGCUUAGCCAAUUACAGAUCCACCUAACCGUAGUUUUGUCUAGCCCACAUUUUACUAGUUUGUUUGCCAGAAGGUCGUGGGGGACUUUGUCGAAGGCCUUACUGAAAUCCAGGUACGCUACAUCCACAGCAUUCCCUGUAUCGACCCAACUCGUAACUCUAUCGAAAAAAGAGAUCAGAUUAGUCUGGCAUGACUUGUUUUUGGUAAAUCCGUGUUGACUAUUAGCAAUGACCGCAUUUGUUUCUAAGUGUUCGCAGACCACUUCCUUAAUGAUCUUUUCCAGAAUUUUGCCUGGUAUUGAUGUGAGGCUGACAGGACGGUAAUUGUUUGGGUCGUUCUUUUUUCCCUUCUUGAAGAUAGGGACCCUUGUAUUCCAAUGGAUGAAGGCCAUCCAGUAGAACUGUUAAAUAGCAAUGUAAACAGGUGUAUUAAAGGAAUGUCAUGACCUUUUCCCACUCAAUGAGUCUCUAGCUAUAGCUGAUGCUUUGAGGAUGUGCGGGGUCACGUUUGGAUGUGUGUGAGUGUUCAAAAGAAGCCUUGUUUUCAUUUAAUCUUAGGCAGCCUCUAUCUACAGGAUAAUUAUUAUUCUGCAUUGCCUAUUAACCUACUUAAAGGUUACCCAGGUAAUUGACACUAAUCAUAUGAAAUCUCAUUAUCGGGAUAAUAAUUUAAUCAUCUAGGCUCUCAGCUGAUGACCAGUGAUUCUGAAGAGGGAACCGAACUGGAAAACAACAAAAACAAUCCAUUGACAGGUAUCAUAAAUCAAAAACAAAACAUAACACACAACCAUUGCCUAUAACAGCACCAAAAUCUUCAGCAAAAACG